rfam:Oryza glaberrima chromosome 4 Oglab04_0005_18, whole genome shotgun sequence.
AAUAUUUGACGCCAUUGACUUUUUUAAACAUGUUUGACCGUUCGUCUUAUUGAAAAAAAUUAAGUAAUUAUUAAUUUUUUUCCUCUCGUUUGAUUAAUUGUUAAAUAUAAUUUUAUGUAUGCAUAUAGUUUUACAUAUUUCACAAAAGUUUUUAAAUAAGAUGAACAGUCAAACAUGUUUAAAAAAGUCAACGGCGUCAAAUAUU